rnacentral:rRNA from 1 species
GACGAACGCUGGCGGCGUGCCUAAUACAUGCAAGUCGAACGCAGUGGGGACGGGUGAGUAACACGUGGGUAACCUCCCAUCAGAGGGGGAUACACUUGGAAACAGGUGCUAAACCGAUACUGAUGGAUGAACCCGCGGUGCAUUAGCUAGUUGGUGAGGUAACGGCUCACCAAGGCCACGAUGCAUAGCCGACCGGAGAGUGGGGUCGGCCACACGGGGACGGAGACACGGCCCAUACUCCUACGGUAGGCAGCAGUAGGGAAUCGUCGGCAAGGGACGAAAGUCUGACCGAGCAACGCCGCGUGAGUGAAGAAGGUUUUCGGUUCGUAAAACUCUGUUGUUAGAUAAGCGGUAUCUAACCAGAAAGCCACGGCUAACUACGUGCCAGCCGCCGCGGUAAUUC